rnacentral:rRNA from 1 species
UACGUAGGGUGCGAGCGUUAAUCGGAAUUACUGGGCGUAAAGGGUGCGCAGGCGGCUUUGUAAGUCAGAUGUGAAAUCCCCGGGCUUAACCUGGGAAUUGCGUUUGAAACUACAAGGCUAGAGUGUGGCAGAGGGAGGUGGAAUUCCAUGUGUAGCAGUGAAAUGCGUAGAGAUAUGGAAGAACAUCGAUGGCGAAGGCAGCCUCCUGGGUUAACACUGACGCUCAUGCACGAAAGCGUGGGGAGCAAAC